rnacentral:rRNA from 1 species
ACGUAGGGCGCAAGCGUUGUCCGGAAUUAUUGGGCGUAAAGAGCUCGUAGGCGGUUGGUCGCGUCUGCUGUGAAAUCCCGAGGCUCAACCUCGGGCCUGCAGUGGGUACGGGCCAACUAGAGUGCGGUAGGGGAGAUCGGAAUUCCUGGUGUAGCGGUGGAAUGCGCAGAUAUCAGGAGGAACACCAAUGGCGAAGGCAGAUCUCUGGGCCGUAACUGACGCUGAGGAGCGAAAGCGUGGGGAGCGAACAGGAUUAGAUACCCUGGUAGUCCACGCCGUAAACGGUGGGAACUAGUUGUAGGGGCCAUUCCACGGCUUCUGUGACGAAGCUAACGCAUUAAGUUCCCCGCCUGGGGAGUACGGUCGCAAGACUA